rnacentral:lncRNA from 1 species
AAAAUUUUCAGUGAGGAUGGUCUAAAAGUUUUUCGCCAUUACUGAUAAUAUUUGGAAGAUUAAUAGUAAUUUUAAAUUCGUGCUUACAAUACAGUAUGUUGAUGCAAAGUAAUGUUUAACUGAGAAUUGAGAAACUUUUUGCCUUAGGCAAUAAUUGAUGUCCUAAUAAACUUUUACGCGAGGAUAUUGAAAUAUUAAAG